AGCUGCGUCACGAGCGCAAAGCGAACUAUUCUUUCGCCUUUUACUAAAGAAUACCGUGUGCGCGUGACGUUAAGCAGCAUACAUUAAUUUUUUAAGGGUGCCUACUCUCUGAGUGGGCC
rfam:Triticum aestivum genome assembly, contig: Triticum_aestivum_CS42_TGACv1_scaffold_407652_5BL